GUUUCUCACUUCAACAGCACAUAUACUAAAAUUGAAAUGAUAUAAAGAAGCUUAGCAUGAUCCCUGCAUUGAAUGAUCUACCAAUUCAAAAAGUGUUCUGUAUUUCU